CCUACGGGGGGCAGCAGUGAGGAAUAUUGGUCAAUGGACGAGAGUCUGAACCAGCCAAGUAGCGUGAAGGAUGACUGCCCUAUGGGUUGUAAACUUCUUUUAUAUGGGAAUAAAAUGUUCCACGUGUGGGAUUUUGUAUGUACCAUAUGAAUAAGGAUCGGCUAACUCCGUGCCAGCAGCCGCGGUAAUACGGAGGAUCCGAGCGUUAUCCGGAUUUAUUGGGUUUAAAGGGAGCGUAGGUGGAUUGUUAAGUCAGUUGUGAAAGUUUGCGGCUCAACCGUAAAAUUGCAGUUGAAACGGGCAGUCUUGAGUACAGUAGAGGUGGGCGGAAUUCGUGGUGUAGCGGUGAAAUGCUUAGAUAUCACGAAGAACUCCGAUUGCGAAGGCAGUUCACUGGACUGCAACUGACACUGAGGCUCGAAAGUGUGGGUAUCAAACAGGAUUAGAUACCCGGGUAGUC
rnacentral:rRNA from 1 species